AUGGCCGACGCGGGUCACAGUGAAGUAUAUGUUCUUACGAGCUUAUUAUCUGAUACGGGUUCUAUUUGGACCGAAGAUAUUAAACUUAUUUUUGCAAGUUGGCGGAGUGCUUGAAGCCUGCUUCACCUCCGACAGGGGUCCGCCGGGUAUUGCACUAUCUUCGGGAUAUUUGGUCUACGGACA